GUCAGGAUGGCCGAGUGGUCUAAGGCGCCAGACUCAAGUUCUGGUUUUCGGUAGAGGGCGUGGGUUCAAAUCCCACUUCUGACA
rfam:Corchorus olitorius cultivar O-4 contig16398, whole genome shotgun sequence.